CCUACGGGUGGCUGCAGUGGGGAAUCUUGCUCAAUGGGCGAAAGCCUGAAGCAGCAACGCCGCGUGCGGGAUGAAGGCCCUCGGGUUGUAAACCGCUUUCAGCAGGAACGAAUCUGACGGUACCUGCAGAAGAAGGUCCGGCCAACUACGUGCCAGCAGCCGCGGUAACACGUAGGGACCAAGCGUUGUCCGGAUUUAUUGGGCGUAAAGAGCUCGUAGGCGGUUCAGUCAGUCGGGUGUGAAAACUUCGGGCUUAACCCGAAGCAUGCAUCCGAUACUGCUGUGACUUGAGUCCGGUAGGGGAGUGGGGAAUUCCUGGUGUAGCGGUGAAAUGCGCAGAUAUCAGGAGGAACACCGGUGGCGAAGGCGCCACUCUGGGCCGGUACUGACGCUGAGGAGCGAAAGCGUGGGUAGCAAACAGGAUUAGAUACCCUAGUAGUC
rnacentral:rRNA from 1 species